CUGUAACCAUGUUCGUCAGCAAUGUAACCAUGUUCGUCAGCACUCCAACCAUGUUCGUCAGUACUGUAACCAUGUUCGUCAGCACCUUAACCAUGUUCUUCAGUACUCUAACCAUGUUCACAGUCUCUGCCCUUGUCACCAGUAAGUGACACAUCAGCUCCCUCUGACAUAAGAAGGUGA